AGAGUUUGAUCAUGGCUCAGAUUGAACGCUGGCGGCAGGCUUAACACAUGCAAGUCGAGCGGAAACGAUGAUAGCUUGCUAUCAGGCGUCGAGCGGCGGACGGGUGAGUAAUACUUAGGAAUCUGCCCAGUAGUGGGGGAUAGCUCGGGGAAACUCGAAUUAAUACCGCAUACACCCUACGGGGAAAAGGGGGCGCUUGCGCUCUCGCUAUUGGAUGAGCCUAAGUCGGAUUAGCUAGUUGGUGGGGUAAAGGCCUACCAAGGCGACGAUCUGUAGCUGGUCUGAGAGGAUGAUCAGCCACACCGGGACUGAGACACGGCCCGGACUCCUACGGGAGGCAGCAGUGGGGAAUAUUGGACAAUGGGGGCAACCCUGAUCCAGCCAUGCCGCGUGUGUGAAGAAGGCCUUUUGGUUGUAAAGCACUUUAAGCAGUGAAGAAGACCUUAUGGUUAAUACCCAUAAGCGAUGACAUUAGCUGCAGAAUAAGCACCGGCUAACUCUGUGCCAGCAGCCGCGGUAAUACAGAGGGUGCAAGCGUUAAUCGGAAUUACUGGGCGUAAAGCGAGCGUAGGUGGUUUAAUAAGUCAGAUGUGAAAUCCCCGGGCUUAACCUGGGAACUGCAUCUGAUACUGUUAGGCUAGAGUAGGUGAGAGGGAGGUAGAAUUUCAGGUGUAGCGGUGAAAUGCGUAGAGAUCUGAAGGGAAUACCGAUGGCGAAGGCAGCCUCCUG
rnacentral:rRNA from 1 species